rnacentral:ncRNA from 1 species
CAUCGCGAGGUGGAAUCUGAAGGAAGCCGGCGGCAAACAUCUGGCCUAACGCACAGAAACUUCAUAAAAGGCACUUGACCGUGGGUAAGGUUGCGAAACAGACCAAAGCCCGAUAGCUAUUCGGGACGGUGGGUGUAAAUGAAGUAGGCAUAAGAUGGAAAGACA